UACAGGGGGUGCAAACGUUGCUCGGAAUCAUUGGGCGUAAAGCGCACGUAGGCGGUUCGUUAUGUCGGAUGUGAAAGCCCUUGGCUUAACCGAGGAAGUGCAUCCGAAACUGGCGAGCUAGAGUACGAAAGAGGAUCGCGGAAUUCCCGGUGUAGAGGUGAAAAUUCGUAGAUAUCGGGAGGAACACCGGUGGCGAAGGCGGCGAUCUGGGUCGAUACUGACGCUGAGGUGCGAAAGCGUGGGGGAGCAAACAGG
rnacentral:rRNA from 1 species